ACUUAAAUUGAAGAGUUUGAUCAUGGCUCAGAUUGAACGCUGGCGGCAGGCCUAACACAUGCAAGUCGAGCGGUAGCACAGAGAGCUUGCUCUCGGGUGACGAGCGGCGGACGGGUGAGUAAUGUCUGGGAAACUGCCUGAUGGAGGGGGAUAACUACUGGAAACGGUAGCUAAUACCGCAUAACGUCGCAAGACCAAAGAGGGGGACCUUCGGGCCUCUUGCCAUCAGAUGUGCCCAGAUGGGAUUAGCUAGUAGGUGGGGUAACGGCUCACCUAGGCGACGAUCCCUAGCUGGUCUGAGAGGAUGACCAGCCACACUGGAACUGAGACACGGUCCAGACUCCUACGGGAGGCAGCAGUGGGGAAUAUUGCACAAUGGGCGCAAGCCUGAUGCAGCCAUGCCGCGUGUAUGAAGAAGGCCUUCGGGUUGUAAAGUACUUUCAGCGGGGAGGAAGGCGAUAAGGUUAAUAACCUUGUCGAUUGACGUUACCCGCAGAAGAAGCACCGGCUAACUCCGUGCCAGCAGCCGCGGUAAUACGGAGGGUGCAAGCGUUAAUCGGAAUUACUGGGCGUAAAGCGCACGCAGGCGGUCUGUCAAGUCGGAUGUGAAAUCCCCGGGCUCAACCUGGGAACUGCAUUCGAAACUGGCAGGCUAGAGUCUUGUAGAGGGGGGUAGAAUUCCAGGUGUAGCGGUGAAAUGCGUAGAGAUCUGGAGGAAUACCGGUGGCGAAGGCGGCCCCCUGGACAAAGACUGACGCUCAGGUGCGAAAGCGUGGGGAGCAAACAGGAUUAGAUACCCUGGUAGUCCACGCCGUAAACGAUGUCGACUUGGAGGUUGUGCCCUUGAGGCGUGGCUUCCGGAGCUAACGCGUUAAGUCGACCGCCUGGGGAGUACGGCCGCAAGGUUAAAACUCAAAUGAAUUGACGGGGGCCCGCACAAGCGGUGGAGCAUGUGGUUUAAUUCGAUGCAACGCGAAGAACCUUACCUACUCUUGACAUCCAGAGAACUUAGCAGAGAUGCUUUGGUGCCUUCGGGAACUCUGAGACAGGUGCUGCAUGGCUGUCGUCAGCUCGUGUUGUGAAAUGUUGGGUUAAGUCCCGCAACGAGCGCAACCCUUAUCCUUUGUUGCCAGCGGUUAGGCCGGGAACUCAAAGGAGACUGCCAGUGAUAAACUGGAGGAAGGUGGGGAUGACGUCAAGUCAUCAUGGCCCUUACGAGUAGGGCUACACACGUGCUACAAUGGCGCAUACAAAGAGAAGCGACCUCGCGAGAGCAAGCGGACCUCAUAAAGUGCGUCGUAGUCCGGAUUGGAGUCUGCAACUCGACUCCAUGAAGUCGGAAUCGCUAGUAAUCGUAGAUCAGAAUGCUACGGUGAAUACGUUCCCGGGCCUUGUACACACCGCCCGUCACACCAUGGGAGUGGGUUGCAAAAGAAGUAGGUAGCUUAACCUUCGGGAGGGCGCUUACCACUUUGUGAUUCAUGACUGGGGUGAAGUCGUAACAAGGUAACCGUAGGGGAACCUGCGGUUGGAUCACCUCCUUACCUUAAAGAA
rnacentral:rRNA from 1 species